rnacentral:lncRNA from 1 species
CCCUCACCCUCUCCAAGUGCCACUCCAAUCCCCUUCCUCUGCCCGAUCUGCUGCUCGGCUUCCUUCCCUCUAAUCCCUACCUGAUUUGCUGCUCUGCUUUUUGCCUUACAUGCUGCUGCCUGUCCCUUACCCAGUCUCCUGUGUUACACACACAGGUUGCCUGUGCCACUUGUGGCACCCUGCCGCAUGUCGGCCACCUCUGGCGUAGUACAUGGGGUAGGAAGCAGAGUCUACUGUAUUUGCUGCAUCAGUGGCUCUUUAGAGAUUUGUUUUGCAGGUUCAUUUCAUGUGUAAGAGAGUCCAGGUGUAAACGGCCACUCCAGCGUACGGGAAUUUGUAAGGGGGCUUAGAGCCAUUACCUUGCAGUCCCUACACAGGAACAGAAAAGCAAUGAAUCCAAGCCAGACUCUACUUAAACAUUUAAGCAGCUCAUUGGGGCUUACUCGACUGGGCUGCUGAUUAUUAGGGACAGCCGUUUCACCCAUGCAGCUUACUCAGGGUCUCUGUGCUCAGCCUUAGGGGCCACGUCUGCCUUGGAGGGCUUCUCUCUUUGCCAAACCGAAGGAGACAGCCGACAGCGGGCGGCUGUCGCUACCCGGUGGGUUUCACAGGCCCUGCCUGAGUCUGAUCUCUGACAAGGGACCCGCAACCCGCACUGGAAAAGGGGGGGGCAGAGGUGGCUCGUUCUGCUGGUCGUUUGGCUCGCGGCCCGCGCUUCUCCAGUACCCGUGUACCGACAGCUCCGGCACACGCGGCCCUGCAAGCCCUAGCAAUGGGGCUGGGAAAAGCCACAAAGCCGAGGGCUCCCGGCGGCUCCAGGCCUAGCGCUAACCAGCCCGGCCCCCCCAAGGCCCGACAGGGCUACGGGGCCGGCGCCGAGACGCGGGGGGCGGCGCGCUGGGUCCCGCCCUCCGGGGCCCGCGGCUCGUCUGGGCUGAGGAAGCGCCGUCAGGCCCCGCCUCGCCUGUGCCGCCAUUGUCCGGGGCCCGCACCGCCUGGGCCCGGCCUCGGCCUCGGCCUCGCGGGGCCUGAGAGCCGGCGGCCGCCGGGAAGGCCGAGCCCGGAGCGGCGGGCGGGCCCCUGGAGGGAGCAGUCAAUAUGA